UAAUGGAGAGGCAGGCAGAGGGUGGAUUUGAUUAAAUUUAAAUCAUGAUUUAAAUCACUAGUCAGGAAGACUCGAUUUAAUCAUGGAUUUCUACAUAAAAGUGCAUUCUUGUUGGUUGUUAUAACCUCAAUACAUAUUCUUCAUAACUCAGAGGCAGAUGUAGGUUUCAUUUUUAGAAGGUACACACUAUAAAUUUAAGUGAUUUAUUUUGAAAACUUUUCAAAUUAGUUUUACAGCUAUAUCAGAAAAUGAAUGAUUGUUUGG